rnacentral:rRNA from 1 species
AUUGAACGCUGGCGGCAGGCCUAACACAUGCAAGUCGAGCGGAUGAAGGGAGCUUGCUCCUGGAUUCAGCGGCGGACGGGUGAGUAAUGCCUAGGAAUCUGCCUGGUAGUGGGGGAUAACGUCCGGAAACGGGCGCUAAUACCGCAUACGUCCUGAGGGAGAAAGUGGGGGAUCUUCGGACCUCACGCUAUCAGGUGAGCCUAGGUCGGAUUAGCUAGUUGGUGGGGUAAAGGCCUACCAAGGCGACGAUCCGUAACUGGUCUGAGAGGAUGAUCAGUCACACUGGAACUGAGACACGGUCCAGACUCCUACGGGAGGCAGCAGUGGGGAAUGUUGGACAAUGGGCGAAAGCCUGAUCCAGCCAUGCCGCGUGUGUGAAGAAGGUCUUCGGAUUGUAAAGCACUUUAAGUUGGGAGGAAGGGCAGUAAGUUAAUACCUUGCUGUUUUGACGUUACCAACAGAAUAAGCACCGGCUAACUUCGUG